rnacentral:lncRNA from 1 species
CUUUUCAAUCAUGUUAUUUUUGUAAUAUUGAGCUCUUUAAGUUUGACAUGAUAAAGUGAAAAUAUUAUGCCUGAAUGAAAUAUUAUUGAAAUCUCAUUAUUAAAGGAAUGUCACAAAGGAAGACAUGAAGACGGAAGAUUGUCUUCAUAAAAUGAGGAUAAUAAUUACACAGUUAACGUAACAAACCAAGAAGUCAUAAUUGCCAAACGUAAUAAAUGGCAAAUAUAGACGGAAUUAUUGACCCA